UAUGGUCAAGUGAAGAAGCGCAUACGGUGGAUGCCUUGGCAGUCAGAGGCGAUGAAAGACGUGGUAGCCUGCGAAAAGCUUCGGGGAGUCGGCAAACAGACUUUGAUCCGGAGAUGUCUGAAUGGGGGAACCCAGCCAUCAUAAGAUGGUUAUCUUACGCUGAAUACAUAGGCGUAAGAGGCGAACCAGGGGAACUGAAACAUCUAAGUACCCUGAGGAAAAGAAAUCAACCGAGAUUCCCUUAGUAGUGGCGAGCGAACGGGGACUAGCCCUUAAGUGGCUUUGAGAUUAGCGGAACGCUCUGGAAAGUGCGGCCAUAGUGGGUGAUAGCCCUGUACGCGAAAAUCUCUUAGUCAUGAAAUCGAGUAGGACGGAGCACGAGAAACUUUGUCUGAAUAUGGGGGGACCAUCCUCCAAGGCUAAAUACUACUGACUGACCGAUAGUGAACUAGUACCGUGAGGGAAAGGCGAAAAGAACCCCGGAGAGGGGAGUGAAAUAGAUCCUGAAACCGUAUGCGUACAAGCAGUGGGAGCCCACUUUGUUGGGUGACUGCGUACCUUUUGUAUAAUGGGUCAGCGACUUAUUUUCAGUGGCGAGCUUAACCGAAUAGGGGAGGCGUAGCGAAAGCGAGUCUUAAUAGGGCGUCUAGUCGCUGGGAAUAGACCCGAAACCGGGCGAUCUAUCCAUGGGCAGGUUGAAGGUUGGGUAACACUAACUGGAGGACCGAACCGACUACCGUUGAAAAGUUAGCGGAUGACCUGUGGAUCGGAGUGAAAGGCUAAUCAAGCUCGGAGAUAGCUGGUUCUCCUCGAAAGCUAUUUAGGUAGCGCCUCAUGUAUCACUGUAGGGGGUAGAGCACUGUUUCGGCUAGGGGGUCAUCCCGACUUACCAAACCGAUGCAAACUCCGAAUACCUACAAGUGCCGAGCAUGGGAGACACACGGCGGGUGCUAACGUCCGUCGUGAAAAGGGAAACAACCCAGACCGUCAGCUAAGGUCCCAAAGUUAUGGUUAAGUGGGAAACGAUGUGGGAAGGCUUAGACAGCUAGGAGGUUGGCUUAGAAGCAGCCACCCUUUAAAGAAAGCGUAAUAGCUCACUAGUCGAGUCGGCCUGCGCGGAAGAUGUAACGGGGCUCAAACCAUACACCGAAGCUACGGGUAUCACGUAAGUGAUGCGGUAGAGGAGCGUUCUGUAAGCCUGUGAAGGUGAGUUGAGAAGCUUGCUGGAGGUAUCAGAAGUGCGAAUGCUGACAUGAGUAACGACAAUGGGUGUGAAAAACACCCACGCCGAAAGACCAAGGUUUCCUGCGCAACGUUAAUCGACGCAGGGUUAGUCGGUCCCUAAGGCGAGGCUGAAAAGCGUAGUCGAUGGAAAACAGGUUAAUAUUCCUGUACUUCUGGUUAUUGCGAUGGAGGGACGGAGAAGGCUAGGCCAGCUUGGCGUUGGUUGUCCAAGUUUAAGGUGGUAGGCUGAGAUCUUAGGUAAAUCCGGGAUCUUAAGGCCGAGAGCUGAUGACGAGUGUUCUUUUAGAACACGAAGUGGUUGAUGCCAUGCUUCCAAGAAAAGCUUCUAAGCUUCAGGUAACCAGGAACCGUACCCCAAACCGACACAGGUGGUUGGGUAGAGAAUACCAAGGCGCUUGAGAGAACUCGGGUGAAGGAACUAGGCAAAAUGGCACCGUAACUUCGGGAGAAGGUGCGCCGGUGAGGGUGAAGGACUUGCUCCGUAAGCUCAUGCCGGUCGAAGAUACCAGGCCGCUGCGACUGUUUAUUAAAAACACAGCACUCUGCAAACACGAAAGUGGACGUAUAGGGUGUGACGCCUGCCCGGUGCCGGAAGGUUAAUUGAUGGGGUUAGCUAACGCGAAGCUCUUGAUCGAAGCCCCGGUAAACGGCGGCCGUAACUAUAACGGUCCUAAGGUAGCGAAAUUCCUUGUCGGGUAAGUUCCGACCUGCACGAAUGGCGUAACGAUGGCGGCGCUGUCUCCACCCGAGACUCAGUGAAAUUGAAAUCGCUGUGAAGAUGCAGUGUAUCCGCGGCUAGACGGAAAGACCCCGUGAACCUUUACUAUAGCUUUGCACUGGACUUUGAAUUUGCUUGUGUAGGAUAGGUGGGAGGCUUUGAAGCGUGGACGCCAGUCUGCGUGGAGCCAACCUUGAAAUACCACCCUGGCAACUUUGAGGUUCUAACUCAGGUCCGUUAUCCGGAUCGAGGACAGUGUAUGGUGGGUAGUUUGACUGGGGCGGUCUCCUCCUAAAGAGUAACGGAGGAGUACGAAGGUGCGCUCAGACCGGUCGGAAAUCGGUCGUAGAGUAUAAAGGCAAAAGCGCGCUUGACUGCGAGACAGACACGUCGAGCAGGUACGAAAGUAGGUCUUAGUGAUCCGGUGGUUCUGUAUGGAAGGGCCAUCGCUCAACGGAUAAAAGGUACUCCGGGGAUAACAGGCUGAUACCGCCCAAGAGUUCAUAUCGACGGCGGUGUUUGGCACCUCGAUGUCGGCUCAUCACAUCCUGGGGCUGAAGCCGGUCCCAAGGGUAUGGCUGUUCGCCAUUUAAAGUGGUACGCGAGCUGGGUUUAGAACGUCGUGAGACAGUUCGGUCCCUAUCUGCCGUGGACGUUUGAGAUUUGAGAGGGGCUGCUCCUAGUACGAGAGGACCGGAGUGGACGAACCUCUGGUGUUCCGGUUGUCACGCCAGUGGCAUUGCCGGGUAGCUAUGUUCGGAAUAGAUAACCGCUGAAAGCAUCUAAGCGGGAAACUAGCCUCAAGAUGAGAUCUCACUGGAACCUUGAGUUCCCUGAAGGGCCGUCGAAGACUACGACGUUGAUAGGUUGGGUGUGUAAGCGCUGUGAGGCGUUGAGCUAACCAAUACUAAUUGCCCGUGAGGCUUGACCAUA
rnacentral:rRNA from 1 species